rnacentral:rRNA from 1 species
GCAUAUCAAUAAGCGGAGGAAAAGAAACUAACAAGGAUUCCCUUAGUAACGGCGAGUGAAGCGGGAAGAGCUCAAAUUUGAAAUCUUCAAGGUUCUACCUUGACGAAUUGUAGUUUAAAGAAGUGUUUUCUGUUAGAUGAGUAGCAAAAGUUCCUUGGAAUGGGACAUCAUAGAGGGUGAGAAUCCCGUAUUUGGUUAUUCAUUCUAGCUUUGUGAUACACUUUCAAAGAGUCGGAUUGUUUGGGAAUGCAGUCCAAAAUGGGUGGUAAAUUUCAUCUAAAGCUAAAUAUUGGCGAGAGACCGAUAGCGAACAAGUACCGUGAGGGAGAGAUGAAAAGAACUUUGAAAAGAGAGUUAAACAGUACGUGAAAUUGUCAAAAGGGAAGCGUUUGACACCAGUGUUGUUUUUCCGAAAAUCAAUUACGAAUGGCUUGAUUUUGUGUUGUAUUGACCUUAUCAGCUUUCUGCACUUUUUUCGAGUCUUUCUUAAUGCACUUUUCGGUUAACAAGUCAACAUCAAUUUCUUUUGUUGUAAAAGAGUAUUCGGAAGGUGGCUUUCUUUUCGGAGAAAGUGUUUAUAGCCCUAUACUUCUACAAUCGGAGAGAUUGAGGUCUGCAGCGUAGAUCCUUCGGGGUUAGAUACACUUGUGCUAAGUUGUAGCUUUUCAUAGACAACUUGUUGACUAUGUUUAGUCAUGCGGCUUACUCGCUUGUGCUAUUUUACCUACGCUUAGGAUGUUGACAAAAUGGUUUUAAACGACCCGUCUUGAAACACGGACC